UGGGGAAUCUUCCGCAGUGGACGAAAGUCUGACGGAGCAACGCCGCGUGAGUGAUGACGGCCUUCGGGUUGUAAAGCUCUGUUAAUCGGGACGAAAGGCCUUCUUGCGAAUAGUUAGAAGGAUUGACGGUACCGGAAUAGAAAGCCACGGCUAACUACGUGCCAGCAGCCGCGGUAAUACGUAGGUGGCAAGCGUUGUCCGGAAUUAUUGGGCGUAAAGCGCGCGCAGGCGGAUUGGUCAGUCUGUCUUAAAAGUUCGGGGCUUAACCCCGUGAUGGGAUGGAAACUGCCAAUCUAGAGUAUCGGAGAGGAAAGUGGAAUUCCUAGUGUAGCGGUGAAAUGCGUAGAUAUUAGGAAGAACACCAGUGGCGAAGGCGACUUUCUGGACGAAAACUGACGCUGAGGCGCGAAAGCCAGGGGAGCGAACGGGAUUAGAUACCCCGGUAGUCCUGGCCGUAAACGAUGGGUACUAGGUGUAGGAGGUAUCGACCCCUUCUGUGCCGGAGUUAACGCAAUAAGUACCCCGCCUGGGGAGUACGACCGCAAGGUUGA
rnacentral:rRNA from 1 species